rnacentral:tRNA from 1 species
AGGGGCGUGGUCUAAUGGUUAUGAUUGAGGUCUCCAAAACCUCCGAUCACAGUUCGAUUCUGUGCGCCCCUGCCA